AAUGAACGCUGGCGGCGUGCUUAACACAUGCAAGUCGAACGAGAAAGGGGAUUGCUUGCAGUCCCGAGUAGAGUGGCGCACGGGUGAGUAACACGUAGAUAAUCUGCCUUCAAGCCUGGGAUAACUAUUCGAAAGGGUAGCUAAUACCGGAUAAAGUCGAUCUACACAAGUAGAUUGAUGAAAGAUUGCCUCUUCUGGAAAGCAAUUGUUGGGGGAUGAGUUUGCGUACCAUUAGCUUGUUGGGGGGGUAAAGGCCUACCAAGGCAACGAGGGUUAGCUGGUCGGAGAGGAGGAUCAGCCCCCCGGGAACUGGAACCCGGUCCAGACUCCUACGGGAGGCAGCAGGGAGGAAUUUUGCGCAAUGGGGGCAACCCGGACGCAGCAACGCCGCGGGAGGGAAGAAGGCCUUGGGGUGGUAAAGCUCGGUC
rnacentral:rRNA from 1 species